rnacentral:rRNA from 1 species
GCAUGAAGUCGGAAUUGCUAGCAAUCGCGGAUCAGCAUGCCGCGGUGAAUACGUUCCCGGGCCUUGUACACACCGCCCGUCACACCAUGGGAGCCGGUAAUACCCGAAGUCAGUAUCCUAACCGCAAGGAGGGAGCUGCCGAAGGUAGGAUUGGCGAUUGGGGUGAAGUCGUAACAAGGUACC